rnacentral:lncRNA from 1 species
UUCAGGCUGUUGCCUCUAGCAGAGGGGAACGUCUGGUGGGAAAGGGCAGUGGGGUGGGGCAGAGGAUGGGUAGAGGCCAUGGAAGAGUUGGAAGAGGACGAAAGUGCCACCAAGUCAUGGCCCUGGACCACGGACCUGAUCGUGCAGCUGGGAAGCCCCUCAGAAUUCCGACACCACCACAAGCAUCCUCGGGAGGAAGCUGUGCCAGCACAUGCUGGGCACACAGGGCUGGCACCGAGAGGCAGGAGGGCUUGAUGAGGAGGCCGUUCCUUGUGGCUCACGGAGGGCUCUUGGCCGUUUCCGCGUGGCACCCAGAAGCUGCUCACCAGCUCUAGAAGACGUGGGGCGAUGAAUCCAGACCCUGGAGGAACUGCGCCCUCGUCCAGCAUAACUGAGGUGCCAGGACACAGGACCGACAUCGCACCCUCCACUUGGGUCAAAGCUUUAUCACUGCAGGCGAGUGUGCGGGCGCCCGGGACAACUCGCAAAACGUCUGGAAGUUCCCACCACUCCCCAGAACAACAGAGACCAAAGCCCACAAAUCUUUAAAGGAAAGCAGCAGGUGCGUAAAAGAAAGAGCCUGCGGCCCCUGCCCGAGGCCCCUCCCCACGUGCCCAGCCCUGAGCAGCAGCAGCGCUGAGUGACCCAGGUGUGGGAAAUGCCUGCUGAGGGGUUUUAGGCCGCAACAGCCGAAGCUGACACGGCCGACUCCAGGAGCCUGUGAGUUCUGCAUUUUACCAACCGCAUGCACGUCUUUCCAGGAGUGCUUGCCCUAUGGCUGCCCCCCAAAUUAUGGGGUUACCUUUGCCCCCUAUUCAGUGUCUAUAUCCUCACCCCAAGCCCGUGAGGUGACCUGGGCACUCGGUGACAAAGUCCUGUGCUUGUGGGGUCCCUGGUGCCUUCCCUUUGGGGUCACGUCAGCCCGGCGUUCCCCCGGAGGCACAAGUCUGGGUGGCAGCUGAGAGGCGUCAGGGGCACAUCCAGACCUGACAAAGGAGGCGGCCCCAGCCCUGCAGCAGAGGGCCCAGGAGCCCAGGGGCUCAGCUCCAAUGUCCAGGUCUGAGCACCAGGGUGCAGCGGGAUCAGGCUCCUGGAGCAGAGUCUGCCUGCCACUUCCGCCUCCUUCCAAGACAGGGACUGGGGCGCUGCAGGCCCUGUGGGGCCCACAGAGAGAGAGCUCAGGGACAGCUGGCUGAGGCCACCCUCUGUGAGACUCCUCCUCUCCAGCUCCAGCCCACUCCACCUUGGCUUGCUGCCCAAGCUUCCAAACACCCAAGGAUGGGGGAGGCUGCACCUGACUGCUGACUCGGUGGACCAGGGUGGGCCCCAGGGUGGGCAUUUUCAAUAAGGUGGGGCUGCCUGGCUGGACGCAGGGAGUCUGCCCAGCACCUGCCCCACUCCCAGCCUCCGGCUUCAGUGCCCACCUGGCUCCCGGGGAGCUGAGCCCCUGAACUCCCUGCCAGGCCAGAGUGACAGCCCGGGUGACCGACCAGGGGACAGAGUGCUGGGAAUUCACGUCCCUGAACACACUGCACCCUCCCACUCUGCGGUCAAAAGCCCUGCUGCUCCUUCAAGCCAGGAGCAUGGAUUAAGUACCUACUGUGUGCCUGGCCAGCCACACGGACGGGGAGCUGACAGCCGGGCCCUGAAGCCGCCCUCUCUCCUGUGGGAGUUCUGGGGGUGGCCCCCCCAGGAAGGAGCGACGUUCCCUAGGCGCCGGGUCCGGACAGCGCCGCGCAGCCCC